GAUGAAUAACGCAGUGAAAUGCGAUAAGUAGUGUGAAUUGCAGAAUUCAGUGAAUCAUCGAAUCUUUGAACGCACAUUGCGCCCCCUGGUAUUCCGGGGGGCAUGCCUGUCCGAGCGUCAUUGCCGCCCUCAAGCACGGCUUGUGUGUUGGGCCCCCGCCCCCCGGCUUCGGGGGGCGGGCCCGAAAGGCAGCGGCGGCACCGCGUCCGGUCCUCGAGCGUAUGGGGCUUCGUCACCCGCUCUGUAGGCCCGGCCGGCGCCCGCCGGCGACCCCAAUCAAUCUUUCCAGGUUGACCUCGGAUCAGGUAGGGAUACCCGCUGAACUUAAGCAUAUCAAUAAGCGGAGGA
rnacentral:misc_RNA from 1 species